rnacentral:rRNA from 1 species
GAAACUGGGGCUAAUACCGGAUAGGAGCUCCUGCUGCAUGGUGGGGGUUGGAAAGUUUCGGCGGUUGGGGAUGGACUCGCGGCUUAUCAGCUUGUUGGUGGGGUAGUGGCUUACCAAGGCUUUGACGGGUAGCCGGCCUGAGAGGGUGACCGGCCACAUUGGGACUGAGAUACGGCCCAG